rnacentral:misc_RNA from 1 species
AAGUCGUAACAAGGUUUCCGUAGGUGAACCUGCGGAAGGAUCAUUAACAAAUCAUGAUUGUAAGGUGACGCUUCGGCGUCCUUUACAAAUACACCCCAAGCCUGUAGCGCAAGCUCGGGCUUUCGGUUUUGACAGGCCCUCGGGUCGGUCACAUAGACGCUUGUAUAUGUUUGACAGAGUUAUUGUUUGCAAUUUAAAAAUGACAACUUUUAACAAUGGAUCUCUUGGCUCUU